GGGCGGCUGGCCUAAUGGUAAGGCGUCUGAUUUCGGCGCAAGAUGAAGAUCUCAGAAGACUGCAGGUUCGAUCCCUGCGUCGCUCG
rnacentral:tRNA from 1 species